rnacentral:rRNA from 1 species
CAGCCGCCGCGGUAAUACGUAGGUGGCGAGCGUUGUCCGGAAUCAUUGGGCGUAAAGGGAGCGCAGGCGGGCAAGUAAGUCUUUCUUAAAAGUGCGGGGCUCAACCCCGUGAUGGGAAAGAAACUACAUGUCUUGAGUACAGGAGAGGAAAGCGGAAUUCCCAGUGUAGCGGUGAAAUGCGUAGAUAUUGGGAGGAACACCAGUGGCGAAGGCGGCUUUCUGGACUGCAACUGACGCUGAGGCUCGAAAGCCAGGGGAGCGAACGGGAUUAGAUACCCCAGUAGUCCCUGUCUCUUAUACC